CUAAGGCCCUACAACUAUAGAAAGGUGGGGGGGGAUUCCCUUAUAUAGUUGUGGGGGGCAAUAGGAAUGAGUGGAAUAAAAUACAUUCACUGAGAGACUCGAGGCCCCAUAACCAAUGUCUUUAUUCCCACCUGUCAAGGGCAAGCUACCCCUACACCUCUUGAACCACUGGAGGUUGUACCUUUCAGAGCUAUUGAUUGGCCCUUCCCUAGCAUCUCGUUCGAUUGAAGCCCUCCUUGGGUCUUAUCCCCACCCCAUAGAAUAGUAGGCAUCAAUGGUAGAACCUCUGCAUCUAUUAAUAAAUCAAUGCUGAAGAACAAUGGCAGAGCCAAGUGGGUACAUUUCUCCCAUUCCUCCCUUCCCAGAUAGAGACAAGGGAUUCUGUUCCUAGCUCCACUCGAUGGGAGACAAAGUACUAGUUUUAAUAAUCUAAUAAACUGGGGCAGUCAAGUUGGGGGAGAUCUCGCUAAUGAAGGAGAGACUACCCCUAAAUUCGAGGGUGAAGAAUGGAUAGCAGUUAGUUAGGGAAGGAAAGUUACCUUUAUCUUCCUCUAGAGGCAAGCCCAGAGAAUAAGUUAAUUCUCCUCGGGCUCCUCGUUAAUAAGGCUCCAUCCUCCAAUUCGAACCAGAAUUGAACUAAGGGCUGUGACGACUCAACUCAUUGAACUAAGCUCCUUCUGGAUGCAUGCAUGGUUCCUUCCGAACUAGUUACUAUAGCCAGAGGAAAGAUAACUCGUUAAGGGUUGAGGUUGUCCUUCCUUCCUGCCGAUUGAACUGGGAGAGAGUUUACUUCAUUAUAGUUGUCCCCAUAGAAUUGUAGGGGAUUUCUCUAGAAGAAAGUAGUUUCUUAGGUUGGCCCAUCAAGAUAGAGCUAACCUCAGUAUCAGAGUCAAGAUAGAGUAAGGGAGGAGGUCAAAAUCUAUUGUUGACAACUGGAAGGAAGGACCCCACUGAUUCUAAAAGGUUGGGAGGCUCUCCCUCAAUAGGGAGUUAUAGCUAGAGGAUGGAAUAGGAGAUCGAGAUCGAAAUUGAGUAGAGGAUGUAGACCCCCAUUGAUUCUUGGAGCAGAUCAGAGUAGGCUCUUUCAUGUAGACUCUCAUAGCCUACCGUUGAUGUUGGUUUCACUACUCCAUUGAGGGAGAUCAAAUCUGUGUGAAGGAUCAACAAUUUGGGAUUAAGGAUUGGGUGGCCAGAUCUUGGUGAAAGAGGUGUUGCUUCACUUGACUCAGGCCUUAACUGGAACCUGUGGAUCUGGAUUUCGUUCAUGUAAGGACAGCAACCAAGCAAGGACAAUCGUCAUAAGGCAAGUUUAUUACGCCGCUAUUGAUUCUGUUGUUUAAGUAGUUUGUUCAACAGUGGAUUCUUUCGAUCCAGCAAAUGACCCAGGACCAGAUGAUUCAUGAGUUCCAUCUCCUUAGCCAUAAUGAAGAUCCAGAUUGAUACCCAGAAGCAGAGCCAGUACCUUAAGAACCAGUUGGAUAGCCAGUCCCAGAAGCAGUUGAAGCAAUGGAAGCAGAGCCAGCAGCAACAGGAGUUGAUGCCGAUGAAGCAGCAUAAGUAGAUCCGGGAUCCAGUAAAAGAAGUAGCAGCACCAGUGAUAGAGGUAGCAUGUCCAGUAGUAGAGAUAGCAUAUAUAGCAUAUGUUGAGUUAGUUGGUGAAUAAGUCUCAAGCAAAAUAUCUAUACGUAAUUCCUUUGGCCAAAGCAAUAAAGCUAGCCAGUAAACCAAACCUAUUGACGGAAGCAUGCAUAAUAAUUAUCUGGAGUUCCACGUUAA